GUGUUUUACAUUAGUGACGUUUUCUUCACUUAUUUGAAUACUUGUCUGAGAAGCUAGUGAUCUCACUGAUGCUUGCUGAUAUUUGCCUUUGAAAAAGGAGGAGGAGGAGGAGUGAGAGAGAAGGAGAAAAGGGUGAGAGAAGGAGUGAGACCUGAUUGGAUUGGAGGGAGAGUAGAGGAGGUAUGGGGAUACAAUGAGCUGAGAGAGAGAGAGAGAGAGAGGGAGCGCAUGUGAGGAAGGGAGGGGGUUUGGAGUCAGAGUGAAUGCAGCUUGCACUGCUGUGCUUUGGAAUUACAGCUAUGAACAUUGUCUGGGACUUGAAAAAGAAAGGAAAGCAAAGGAGAAAAGGAGAGAGAGUGGAAGAGAAACAUUACAGAGCCUCUUGAUGCUCGACGCUGAAGAGAGUGUGUGAGAAGGAAAGGAGGAGGCGCACCGGAGGAGCUUCACACGAUCCUCUCAUCUUCAGUUCCUGAGCAGACCGGCCUGUUGUCCCUCAUCACCGGGGUCGGCAUUGGAACUGCGUCUCACCACAGUGUGCAGUGCUCCAAGCCGGCUCUGCUCAGAAUGGCUCCACAGAGCAGGGAUUGUGUUAACCUGAGGAGGACCACUCUCACACAGGGAACAGUCCGUCUCACCAGAGAGCUUUACGCUUUGAUGAGGCUGUUAUUUGACACGACCAUCUACAAUUAGUCAUUCUGGGAACCCAUGG